rnacentral:rRNA from 1 species
CAUGCAAGUCGAACGAUGAAGCCGGGGCUUUUUGUUUUGGUGGAUUAGUGGCGAACGGGUGAGUAAUACGUGAGUAACCUGCCCUUGUCUUUGGGAUAAGCCUGGGAAACUGGGUCUAAUACCGGAUAUUCUGCUUUUGCCGCAUGGUGGGGGUUGGAAAGAUUUUUUGGAUGGGGAUGGGCUCACGGCCUAUCAGCUUGUUGGUGGGGUGAUGGCCUACCAAGGCGUCGACGGGUAGCCGGCCUGAGAGGGUGACCGGCCACAUUGGGACUGAGAUACGGCCCAGACUCCUACGGGAGGCAGCAGUGGGGAAUAUUGCACAAUGGACGCAAGUCUGAUGCAGCGACGCCGCGUGGGGGAUGACGGCUUUCGGGUUGUAAACUCCUUUCAGUACAGAAGAAGCAUUUUUGUGACGGUAUGUGCAGAAGAAGCGCCGGCUAACUACGUGCCAGCAGCCGCGGUAAUACGUAGGGCGCGAGCGUUGUCCGGAAUUAUUGGGCGUAAAGAGCUCGUAGGCGGUUUGUUGCGCCUGCUGUGAAAGACCGGGGCUUAACUUCGGGGUUGCAGUGGGUACGGGCAGACUAGAGUGUGGUAGGGGUAAUUGGAAUUCCUGGUGUAGCGGUGGAAUGCGCAGAUAUCAGGAGGAACACCGAUGGCGAAGGCAGGUUACUGGGCCAUUACUGACGCUGAGGAGCGAAAGCGUGGGUAGCGAACAGGAUUAG